CCGCAUCCCCCACGGCAGCAUCACUUUUUCCGCUUUUAAUUCCUCCCACCUUUGCGUUCCUCCCUCCCCGCGCCCAGCUUCUCGCCCUCUCCGCAGCCUCCCGCCACCCACGGCGGGGCCUCCGGGCCAGACCCGGCUCCCGCUCCCGGUUCAUUCUCGCUCCGCUCCCGAAUCUUCCUGAUGCCAACCCUGUUGGCUUUGACCUGGACAGCAUAGCUCAGAUUCUGGCCCUGGUGAUGUCAACGAGAUCUUGCUAUUGAUCUUCAGACCUGAAUUUCAACAUACUGAGAUGCCUACAGUAUAUCCCUUCUACCUCAGCAUGUAUUUAUUUCCAGUGGACUCCCAGGUGGAUCUUCCUGAAAAUACUUGGAACCAAAUGUUUAAAGGCUUGGGUGAAGAGGAAGAGGAUUCUGCUGUAGGAGAGGCAUCAGGAGAUGUUCUACAUGUAGAAGAUAGGAAGUUGCUUUUACUAGCAGGGACAUCUUGCUGUGCUGAG
rnacentral:lncRNA from 1 species